rnacentral:rRNA from 1 species
AUUGAACGCUGGCGGCAGGCCUAACACAUGCAAGUCGAGCGAGCGGCGGACGGGUGAGUAAUGUAUGGGGACUGCCCGAUAGAGGGGGAUAACUACUGGAAACGGUGGCUAAUCCCGCAUACUAUCGGAUAACCCAUAUGGGAUUAGCUAGUAGGUGGGGUAACGGCUCACCUAGGCGACGAUCUCUAGCUGGUCUGAGAGGAUGAUCAGCCACACGGGAACGGAUACACGGUCCAGACGCCGACGGAUGCAGCAGUGGGGAAUAUUGAACAAGGGGCGAAAGCCUGAUGCAGCCAGGCGGUGUGUAUGAAGAAGGCCGUCGUGUUUUAAAGUACUUGCAGCGAGGAGGCGUUACUCACAGAAGAAGCACCGUCUAACUCCGUGCAAGCAGCCGCGGUAAUUC